GAUUCACAGAUGUCUGGCGUGAAGGUGGCAAGAAGAAGCCCCUAAAGGCACCAAAGAAAGAGUCGAAAGAUCUCGACGAGGAUGACCUAGCCCACAAACAGAAGUUGAAGGAACAGCAAAAGGCCCUACAGGAGGCGAAAGCAAAGGCUUCACAGAAAGGUCCUUUAGCGACUGGAGGUAUCAAGAAAUCCGGCAAAAGUGACACAACUACUUUAAACUUAACUUAUAGGCUAUAAAUUCUAAUGUAAGAAUUAUUAAAAGAUCUUUGUUGUUUUAAUUUGAUUUUAUAUUACAGCAUAAACUAUGGAUAUUGACUAUCAUGUAACUUCCAUGUAACUGCGUACUGCCACAAUUAGGCCCAAGUAAACGUUUAUAACUUACAUACAUACCAAACUUGUAACAUGCAUUUUAUAUAAAUAAAACAUUUAAUAUCGA